rnacentral:tRNA from 1 species
GACCGCGUAGCUCAGUCGGCAGAGCAUUGGACUAGUAUCCCAAAGGUCGCGGGUUCGAUUCCCACCCUGGCCA